AGUCUUCGUGUCCCAGGUGGUCUAGUGGUUAGGAUUCGUGACUCUCACCCACGCGGCCCGGGUUCGAUUCCCGGUC
ensembl:miRNA